ensembl:ncRNA lncRNA:CR32368 long non-coding RNA:CR32368
AUUCAGUCAAUACACAUCGUGCAAAGACAACUUGAUAUCAAUCGCUGCAUACAAAAAUGGAUGGUGCCAUUGCAAUGAAUCAUGUGGUGGAAUCCGACAAGGAGAAGAGGCAAUUUAAACUGAAAAUUAUGGAGCUCGAGCACGAAAUGAGGAUGGAAAAGGAUCCAGCUCGCGCCAAGAUGAUCGAGGAGCACAUUGAGAAAUUGAAGAAACUGGAUGAGGAGAACCAAAAGCGGAACUUGGAAAUUGCCAAGGCAAACGUGAUGUUAAUGACAGCGAAUACAAAGUUUAGAGUGGGUUAUCAUAUUAUUAACAACCUUUAAAUCAAAAUUGCUUCCAAUAAUGAAUCCCGGCAAGGCAAAGCUGCUUGCAGUUUUGAUUAAAAUGCCUUAUUAAUAAAUUUCAUGAAC